rnacentral:rRNA from 1 species
UACGAAGGGGGCUAGCGUUGCUCGGAAUCACUGGGCGUAAAGGGUGCGUAGGCGGGUCUUUAAGUCAGGGGUGAAAUCCUGGAGCUCAACUCCAGAACUGCCUUUGAUACUGAAGAUCUUGAGUUCGGGAGAGGUGAGUGGAACUGCGAGUGUAGAGGUGAAAUUCGUAGAUAUUCGCAAGAACACCCAUGGCGAAGGCAGCUCUCUGGGACGGUACUGACGCUGAGACGCGAAAGCGUGGGGAGCGAACAGG